rnacentral:sRNA from 1 species
UCACAAUGUGUCCUGACUUGAGUGUUGU